CUUGGUCAUUUAGAGGAAGUAAAAGUCGUAACAAGGUCUCCGUUGGUGAACCAGCGGAGGGAUCAUUACCGAGUUUACAACUCCCAAACCCCUGUGAACAUACCUAUACGUUGCCUCGGCGGAUCAGCCCGCGCCCCGUAAAACGGGACGGCCCGCCCGAGGACCCCUAAACUCUGUUUUUAGUGGAACUUCUGAGUAAAACAAACAAAUAAAUCAAAACUUUCAACAACGGAUCUCUUGGUUCUGGCAUCGAUGAAGAACGCAGCGAAAUGCGAUAAGUAAUGUGAAUUGCAGAAUUCAGUGAAUCAUCGAAUCUUUGAACGCACAUUGCGCCCCCUGGUAUUCCGGGGGGCAUGCCUGUUCGAGCGUCAUUUCACCACUCAAGCCUCGCUUGGUAUUGGGCGACGCGGUCCGCCGCGCGCCUCAAAUCGACCGGCUGGGUCUUCUGUCCCCUCAGCGUUGUGGAAACUAUUCGCUAAAGGGUGCUCGGGAGGCUACGCCGUAAAACAACCCCAUUUCUAAGGUUGACCUCGGAUCAGGUAGGGAUACCCGCUGAACUUAAGCAUAUCAAUAAGCGGAGGA
rnacentral:rRNA from 1 species